rnacentral:rRNA from 1 species
CCUACGGGAGGCUGCAGUGAGGAAUAUUGGUCAAUGGGCGAGAGCCUGAACCAGCCAAGUCGCGUGAAGGAUGAAGGAUCUAUGGUUUGUAAACUUCUUUUAUAGGGGAAUAAAGUGAGGAACGUGUGCCUUUUUGUAUGUACCAUAUGAAUAAGCAUCGGCUAACUCCGUGCCAGCAGCCGCGGUAAUACGGAGGAUGCGAGCGUUAUCCGGAUUUAUUGGGUUUAAAGGGUGCGUAGGUGGUUAAUUAAGUCAGCGGUGAAAGUUGGUGGCUCAACCAUAAAAUUGCCGUUUAAACUGGUUGCCUUUAGUAUAUUUGUGGUAGGCGGCCUGCGUGGUGUCGCUGU